GNUUCUUUGGAUUUUAAUAGAGAAUCUGGCCUGCCCACUGAAUUAAGUUAAAGGGCUGCAGUAUUUUGACUGUACAAAGGUAGCAUAAUCAUUAGUCUUUUAAUUGAAGACUGGAAUGAAUGGUUUGACAGGAUUACACUUGUCUCAGUAAUAGAAGGUUAAUUUUACAGUCCUUGUGAAAAGGCAAGGAUAAAUUAUAGGGACAGAGAAGACCCUAUAAAACUUAAUUUUAAUAGGUGUAUUAUUUAGAGGAUUAAUUUAAUAUAUUCGUUAAGGGUUUGCUGGGGCGGUAUUUAUUUUACAUAAAUUUGAUUAAAUAAUGAUGAUUACGCUUAAGAAAUGAUCCGAUAUUUUGGUCGAUAAAAAGAANAAGGUUACUUUAGGGAUAACAGCGUAAUGAUUUUUGAGAGUUCUUAUUGACGGAAUUGUUUGCGACCUCGAUGUUGGAUUAAGGAAUCUUUUUGGCGCAGUUGUUAAUAAAGAUAGGCC
rnacentral:rRNA from 1 species